rnacentral:misc_RNA from 1 species
GAUGAAGAACGCAGUGAAAUGCGAUAAGUAGUGUGAAUUACAGAAUUCAGUGAAUCAUCGAAUCUUUGAACGCACAUUGCGCCCCUUGGUAUUCCAUGGGGCAUGCCUGUUCGAGCGUCAUUUGUACCCUCCAGCCCUGCUGGGUAUUGGGCGUUUUGUUCCGCUACGCGCGUGAACUCGCCUCAAAUGCAUUGGCAGCCCGCCGUCCCGUGUGGGAGCGCAGCACAUUUUGCGCUCUCCGCUGCUGACGGUGGCAUCCACAAGUCUACCAUUUUACGCUUGACCUCGGAUCAGGUAGGGAUACCCGCUGAACUUAAGCAUAUCAAUAAGCGGAGGA